GCGGCGGUUGGCUGAGAGGUCGAAGGCCGUUCGUAUGCGCUGGGUAGCUACCAGACGUGGGUUCAAAUCCCACACCGCCGCA
rnacentral:tRNA from 1 species